rnacentral:tRNA from 1 species
UGAUGUGGCUCAGUUGGUAGAGCGAUUCACUCGUAAUGAAUAGGUCGGGGGUUCAAGUCCCCCCAUCA